rnacentral:rRNA from 1 species
CCUACGGGUGGCUGCAGUGGGGAAUAUUGCACAAUGGGGGAAACCCUGAUGCAGCGACGCCGCGUGAGUGAAGAAGUAUUUCGGUAUGUAAAGCUCUAUCAGCAGGGAAGAAAAUGACGGUACCUGACUAAUAAGCCCCGGCUAACUACGUGCCAGCAGCCGCGGUAAUACGUAGGGGGCAAGCGUUAUCCGGAUUUACUGGGUGUAAAGGGAGCGUAGGUGGCAUUGUAAGGCAGAAGUGAAAACCCUGGGCUCAACUCUGUGAAUUGCUUUUGGAACUAUCAAGCUAGAGUGCUGGAGGGGUAAGCGGAAUUCCUAGUGUAGCGGUAAAAUGCGUAGAUAUUAGGAGGAACACCGGUGGCGAAGGCGGCUUACUGGACAGAAACUGACACUGAGGCUCGAAAGCGUGGGGAGCAAACAGGAUUAGAUACCCGGGUAGUC